GGUUAGGGUUUCCUUCCUCAUCAUCCAAAUUACCAUCUUCGACACCGAUUUUACCGGUGGAGCUCCAAAUCUUACGCGAAAUCUCGAAACUAGCCUGAUCAUGAGGGCUCUUGAAAGAGAAGUCCUUACCUGAGCUGAUUUUGUUGAGGACAUUGCGGUACUUCUUCUUUAAACGGCGUAGUUUUUCAACCAGCUGGUUCUUGUUGAAAUCGAGCUGGAGCUUCGAUUUGAUUUGGUCGUAGAACAAAGCGGUGUCGUAGUGGCUGCUUCCACGCUGUGUCGUGUAGUCGAGAAACCCUUGGAGGACCACUAUUUCGUCUUCAUCCGUCCAUAAUCGUUGAAAAAGCCGCCUCGAUUCAUCCAUUUGUUGCGGCUGCGGUUGCGGUUUUUUCUCUUCUCGCUGGUGGAUAACCCGCAUAGUUUCAACGCGUUGACGCUUGGAGUCAGGAGCGGACUCCACGGAAGCAGAGGGAGGAUCACCUCCGUUGGGAACAGCGACGGUGACGACAGAGGAGGAGGGGACAGCAACAGGGACGGUAGCAGGAGAGGAGGUAGAAGGGGAAACAGAGUUGAGGUCUACUUCGUCUUCCUCGUCAGCAAGAACGUCGUCGUUUCCAACUAUGACAUCGUCGUUCUCAAGAUCAUCGUCGUCAUCUUGAGACUGGGAGGAUUCUUCGUCGUCGUCAUCGUCGUCGAGGUCGUGGCCAAAAACGGUGUCGUCCUGCUCGGAGGCCAUGAAAAA
rnacentral:misc_RNA from 1 species